rnacentral:rRNA from 1 species
CAGUCGCCACGGUAAUACGUAGGUGGCAAGCGUUGUCCGGAAUUAUUGGGCGCAAAGGGCUCGCAGGCGGUUUCUUAAGUCUGAUGUGAAAGCCCCCGGCUCAACCGGGGAGGGUCACUGGAAACUGGGAAACUUGAGUGCAGAAGAGGAGAGUGGAAUUCCACGUGUAGCGGUGAAAUGCGUAGAGAUGUGGAGGAACACCAGUGGCGAAGGCGACUCUCUGGUCUGUAACUGACGCUGAGGAGCGAAAGCGUGGGGAGCGAACAGGAUUAGAUACCCCGGUAGUCCCUGUCUCUUAUAC